rnacentral:lncRNA from 1 species
UACCAGUUCAUUCUAAGAACCUGCUACCAAGUGCUGGCCAUGGUGGCAUGGUUUUAGUUUCAGGACACAGAGGAGGUCGGAUCUCUGAUUUCAAGGCCAGCCUGUUCUACAUAGGGAGUUCCAGGCCAGUCAAAGGUUACAUACACAUAGGGAGACCCUGAUUCAAAACAACAUUAAACAAAACAAACAACUGGCUACUGGUUGAAAGUAUAAGCUAGGGAAAAUAAUCUAAUCUUUGUAACGUUGGAUACAUUUGGAGAGCAGGGGCAUGGAUUAAAUCGCUACUUUGUAGGUUUAUAGGUAGUGUGUAGUUUGUUUAACUUUCAUCAUGCAGUUAAACUAAUUCUUUAGAGAAUCUUUCCUCCUCUAGUCUAGGGCCUGUGUGAAUGUACAGUUUUAAUAAAGUAGUAAGAGGUGACAGUGUCAUGGGAAAGUUGUAUUUGAGGUGGCACAGCUUUACAGCCUUUGUGUCUUUUAAAAAGAAAUAAGAUUGAUUGAGGUGGUGUAUCAAUGUAAGAAUGUGUGUGCACUACUAGGCAGAUUUUGGUAGGAUUUAAAAUUGUAUAAAUUUAUUGAAAUUAGCAAAUAAUGCCUUUUCUAAGGAGCUUCAUAUGUACUUUUUUAUCUUUUUGUACAAGGAAAUUAUAAAAGUUUAUUUUAAAUUAAAUGAUUAAAUGUGUUUAGUAUAAAAUAUAACAAAAAAGGAGUUUGUAGAUUUUGUAGGUCUGAAAUAACUUAAUAGGUGGUGUUAAGAUGUUUCUAGCUUCCUUAAGUUUAAGCUAACCGUUAAGUAUGUCAGUAUUUCUGUGGCCUGCUGAGCACAGCUGGACUCUCCCACCUUUCCUUCUUGGACUCUGAUACUGUUUCGGGUUUUUAGUAAGUUCUGUGCAACUCUCUUCAGUUAAUGUGGUAUAAUAGUGUGAUCUUGUGUCUUUUCUUAGUAGUUGAUUUAUAAUAUGCCUUCUGAGAUUUAUCUUUUUUUAUUAAAAAAGUUUAAAAAGUGUGUUUUGUUUGUAUGCACUACAGCGUGUUCAUGAGGAUCAGUGGGAGCUGCUUCUUUAACCAAUUGUGUCCUGAGAGGGAGAUUGAGCAUAGUUCAUUAGCCUUUUUAAAAUUUUUAAAGAAUUACUUUGUGUAUGGGUAUUUUGCCUGUGUGUAUCAUCCAAUGCUCUUAGAAGCCAGAAGGUGGUAUUGGAUUCCCUCUGGAACUGGUGUUACAAAUGGUAUGAGCUACCUUGCAGGAGAAGUUGAAGUCAGGUUCUCUGGAAGAGCAGAACUGCGCUGAGCCUGCUUUCCAGCCCUAGUUCAUCUAGCAGGCACCUUACCAGCUCCCAAUACUUGUUUUUUUAAACAGUAGUUGGAAACCUGUUUGCUACCCCAGAAUAUUUAAGGAGAUAUGUCCUGUGGGAGUUACUAGAGAUGUUGAAUCAGUCAAUUUAAAAAUUUGCGUAUGUCUUUGUAUGAUUUUAUUGGCAAAGUUAGAAAAUCAAGGUGUUCUAUAUGCUUUUACAAGGUUAUUUUAAUGUGCAAACUGAAAACUGCCUCUAGAUGUUUCUGGAGAUGUCCCCUGUAGAGAGCCACUGAUGUAGAUUCUAAGCUUAAUUAAUGCCUCUUCUUGUUUGUCUUAAUGUUUGAACAUGUUUCAAGUUAGGCUGUAUCAGGUAGUUGCUUAGAAAGGUUGGUGCUGGAGAGAGAUGGCUCGAUGGUUAAGAGCACUGACUGCUCUUCCGAAGAUCCUGAGUUCAAAUCCCAGUAACCACAUGGUGGCUCACAACCACCUGUAAUGAGAUCUGAUGCUCUCUUCUGGUGUGUCUUGAAGACAGCUACAGUGUACUUAGAUAUAAUAAUAAAUAAAUCUUUGGGCCAGAGCGAGCAGAGGUCCCGAGUUCAAUUCCCAGCAACCACAUGAUGGCUCAUAACCACCUGUGCAGCUACAGUGUACUCACAUACAUAAAAU